rnacentral:rRNA from 1 species
CUAUUGUUCUUCUCCGAGGAAUCCCUAGUAAGCACAAGUCAUCAGCUUGUGCUGAUUACGUCCCUGCCCUUUGUACACACCGCCCGUCCCUACUACCGAUUGGAUGGCUUAAUGAGGCCUUCUGAUUGAGAUUUGGAGGCUGGUAACACACUCUGGAUUUUGAGAAGUUGGUCAAACUUGGUCAUUUAGAGGAAGUAAAAGUCCCAACAGGGUUUCCGUACGUGAACCUGCGGAAGGAUCAUUACCGAUAUUAUCGAACCUGAUCUUCUGGGUCAUGGUCUCGCGAAAACUGUAUUUAAAACCCCACUCUUAAUAAGAUGAAUGAAUCAUUUAUUAUAUUUAAAAUAAAUAAGGAUCACUUUCAACAACGGAUCUCUUGGCUCUCGCAUCGAUGAAGAACGUAGCGAAGUGCGAUAAGUAGUGUGAAUUGCAGACUUCCGUGAAUCAUCGAAUCUUUGAACGCACAUUGCGCUCCCUGGCAUCCCGGAGAGUAUGCCUGUUUGAGGGUCAGUAUAUUUAAAUCGACGCGUUGCUCUUUUAGUGACGUUUCAGACCUGAGUUUUCUUAACUUAUUUUUUAAGCUAAGAGGCUCUAAAAUUGACAUCCUUUUUGCGCAUUUUUAGACGUACAUAUGAAUUUCUUCUUUAUUCGACCUAGUUAUGAUGCGGAAUCAUUUAUUACGUGCUGCCCAUGUUGAGUGAUGUCGCUGUUCUACAAGAUUCUCGCUGAUUGACCUCAAUUCAGGUAGAGUACCUCGCUGCACUUAGGCUAGUCAUCACGCAGAGAAAGUCAAUCAACACUGAUUGCCCUUAGUCAGUGACAUUGGAAGAUGGACCAGCUCAGAUUUAAAUCUGUUCGUGCCUACCUGUACGAGUUGUA